rnacentral:rRNA from 1 species
UACGGGGGGGGCAAGCGUUGUUCGGAAUUACUGGGCGUAAAGGGCUCGUAGGCGGCCAACUAAGUCGGACGUGAAAUCCCUCGGCUUAACCGGGGAACUGCGUCCGAUACUGGAUGGCUUGAGUUUGGGAGAGGGAUGCGGAAUUCCAGGUGUAGCGGUGAAAUGCGUAGAUAUCUGGAGGAACACCGGUGGCGAAGGCGGCAUUCUGGACUGCAACUGACACUGAAAGACGAAAGCCAGGGGAGCAAACGGG